rnacentral:rRNA from 1 species
UACAUGGGGUGCAAACGUUGCUCGGAAUUAUUGGGCGUAAAGCGCACGUAGGCGGUUUGUUAAGUCGGAUGUGAAAUCCCUCGGCUCAACUGAGGAAGUGCAUCCGAAACUGGCAGGCUUGAGUACUAAAGAGGGUCGCGGAAUUCCCGGUGUAGAGGUGAAAUUCGUAGAUAUCGGGAGGAACACCGGUGGCGAAAGCGGCUCACUGGACCACAACUGACGCUGAUGCGCGAAAGCUAGGGGAGCAAACAGG